GAUGAACGCUGGCGGCGUGCCUAAUACAUGCAAGUCGAGCGAACAGAUGAGGAUCUUGCUCCUCUGACGUUAGCGGCGGACGGGUGAGUAACACGUGGAUAACCUACCUAUAAGACUGGUAUAACUUCGGGAAACCGGAGCUAAUACCGGAUAAUAUAUUGAACCGCAUGGUUCAAUAGUGAAAUACGGUUUUGCUGUCACUUAUAGAUGGAUCCGCGCCGCAUUAGCUAGUUGGUAAGGUAACGGCUUACCAAGGCAACGAUGCGUAGCCGACAUGAGAGGGUGAUCGGCCACCCUGGAACUGAGACACGGUCCAGACUCCUACGGGAGGCAGCAGUAGGGAAUCUUGCGCAAUGGGCGAAAGCUUGACGGAGCAACGCCGCGUGAGUGAUGAAGGUCUUCGGAUCGUAAAACUCUGUUAUUAGGGAAGAACAAAUGUGUAAGUACCUAUGAACGUCUUGACGGUACCUAAUCAGAAAGCCACGGCUAACUACGUG
rnacentral:rRNA from 1 species